rnacentral:rRNA from 1 species
GACGAACGCUGGCGGCGUGCCUAAUACAUGCAAGUCGAACGCAGUUGCGAACGGGUGAGUAACGCGUAGGUAACUGCCUCAUAGCGGGGGAUAACUAUUGGAAACGAUAGCUAAUACCGCAUACUUUGCGAUGGACAUGCGUUGGAUUAGCUAGUUGGUGAGGUAAAGGCUCACCAAGGCGAAUGUUGAUAGCCGACCUGAGAGGUGGGUCGGCCAAACCGGGACCGAGAACCGGCCCCAGCUCCUACGGGGGGGAGCAGGUGGGAAACUUUGGCAAUGGACGGAAAGCCUACCGAGCAACGCCGCGUGAGUGAAGAAGGGUUUUGGAUCGGAAAGCUCUGUUGUUAGAGAAGCGGUAACUAACCAGAAAGGGACGGCUAACUACGUGCCAGCCGCCGCGGUAAUAC